UACGGGGGGAGCAAGCGUUGUUCGGAUUUACUGGGCGUAAAGGGCGCGUAGGCGGCGUGACAAGUCACUUGUGAAAACCCGCGGCUCAACCGCGGGCCUGCAGCCGAUACGGGCAGGCUGGAGUUCGGUAGGGGAGACUGGAAUUCCUGGUGUAGCGGUGAAAUGCGCAGAUAUCAGGAAGAACACCGGUGGCGAAGGCAGGUCUCUGGGCCGAUACUGACGCUGAGGAGCGAAAGCGUGGGGAGCGAACAGG
rnacentral:rRNA from 1 species